rnacentral:rRNA from 1 species
GAUGAACGCUGGCGGCGUGCUUGACACAUGCAAGUCGAACGGUGAAGCAGAGCUUGCUCUGUGGAUCAGUGGCGAACGGGUGAGUAACACGUGAGCAACCUGCCCCUGACUCUGGGAUAAGCGCUGGAAACGGCGUCUAAUACUGGAUAUGAGCUGCGACCGCAUGGUCAGCAGUUGGAAAGAUUUUUCGGUCUGGGAUGGGCUCACGGCCUAUCAGCUUGUUGGUGAGGUAAUGGCUCACCAAGGCGUCGACGGGUAGCCGGCCUGAGAGGGUGACCGGCCACACUGGGACUGAGACACGGCCCAGACUCCUACGGGAGGCAGCAGUGGGGAAUAUUGCACAAUGGGCGAAAGCCUGAUGCAGCAACGCCGCGUGAGGGAUGACGGCCUUCGGGUUGUAAACCUCUUUUAGCAGGGAAGAAGCGAAAGUGACGGUACCUGCAGAAAAAGCGCCGGCUAACUACGUG